GCCAGGCGUGGUGGUGUACAUCUGUAAUCCUAGCGGCUUGGGAGGCUGAGGCAGGAGGAUUGAGAGUUGAAAGCCAGCCUCAGCAACGGGGAGGUGCUAAGCAACUCGGUGAGACCCUGUCUCUA
rnacentral:sRNA from 1 species